UAUCCUUCUUUGCUCAUUUUUUUUUUCUUGGAGAAAAUGAAUCAGUUACUGUGCCACAAAAGGCUUAUUAACAAUUUCCAUUUUUGACCUGCUUUUUCAGGAAACAAUCUACUUAGCUCCCCUGCAUUGUCUUGAUUUGUUCCUCUCUCCAAUUGCCAUUUGAAUUAGAGAGAGAAUACUUCCUAAAUGUCAAUUCUCUGCCUUCGCGGACAACAGAUCAAAAACAGGUUUUGUGGCACAAAGCAGUGAUGGAAUUCUACCAGUUCUACCUGGUUUGGGCAAACCAGUAACAGCGGCAGCAGAAGGCUCCAACUACCCACCCGGACAUCAUCAUGGAUGCUCUGCACACGCACAGAGGUGGCACAUGCGAGCAAGAGAGAGAGAGAGAGAGAGCGCACUCACAUUUGCGAACCAGUAACAAAGAAAACACAAAUGAAGACAUUGCACUGGGAAAAAAGGUAAUUCAUUUGUUGGCUGUAGUUCCAAUCCUCUCUCUCUGCCUGGCACUGGUGAGGAAUCUUCCAAGAAUCUGAGGCCUAAAACUUCUGUGAUAAUAUUUACAUCCAUGUGAAGCUGCGAGAAAAUGUAAAAGGAACAAAAUUGGACUAGCUAGCUCAGCCAUCCAAUUUGAGUGAACAGUGACAUUUCUAGUCUGUUUCAAUGUCUCAUGGAAGUGGGAAUUUUCUAUGGGAAUUCAUUGUUCAUGGAACUGGGAAUUUUCCGUGGGAAAUUUAGAAUAACUUGACCCUGAAAGCAAGAUGGGAAACCCUGUCAUAGUUUUCUUUUUCUUUUAAACAAUUUUUUUUAUUUUUUAAAAAACAAAUAAAACAUACAAAUCUUUGCUGAAAAAUAUAUUGGUCGGGUACAUACUCAUAUUUCAAAUU